CAUUGUGCCUCCAUUGUGCUGCGGUGCUUAGGCAUUGUGGUUGAGAGUAGACAGGAUGCACACCCUUUAUCGCUAGCAUACCGAGGUGCUGGUGGCGAGUUCCAAACUUGGGUUUUGCAGGUUGCCUUCGCGAAUUUGUGCGUGAAGCUAGCUUGGGUGUUAAGAAUGCUGCAUGAAGAUUGCUACUACAUGCAAGCCGCCCUGCCUCUACCUGCACCAACCACAUGUCAGAUUCCAGGAUGCACGUGCGCUUCCUGAUAUACUGACCUGCAUUAGUUUUUGGCCGUUAAUGUGGUGACAUUGUGCAAAUGUUAGCUGGCCAGAUAGAUACAAGGGCUGUGGCAAGCGUGCAUACCGAUUUAACCUUUUAUGUGUAAGCGUGCUAGAGAUGGAAAGGCUCUCACCUUUCAGUCCUGCCCUCCUAGGGUGCAUCCGGGGGGUGGGGCAGUAAGCUGAUUCGUACUGCAAAAAAAUCCAUUUUGUUUUCACUUGCAAAAUCGUCCGAGAAUUCAUUGCCUUUUGCUGAUAUUUCUCAAUGCAUGGGCGAUGUCGAGACACAUACACACAUGUGCAUGUGUGCAUAUUCAGUUCUCGCACCCCCACACAUUCAGCUAGCACCCGUACGAACACAGACAGCCCUAAGACCACUAUACCCACGAAGAUGAGGAGCUCAACAUCAACAGCUCAACAUCAACAGGCACGGACCACAGACAGAAGACACGUGUGCACGCAAGCUCCACAUCAUCCGCAUCAGCAUGUGACACAGACAGACAGACAGUUACACUCACACGUGCACAAAAGAGCACUUUUCACCUCCACGCCGGGACGAGAUGCGGGCCAAGCAGUACAAGUGACAUCACCCACAUCAUCACCAGCUGCAGCACACGGGUAAAACGCAGAGGCGGAAGGCCCACACUGUGUGCAACAUGCCUCUGCGAUGUAACACCCCCAACCACCUAACGGAUCAUACGUACACCCCCAACUAACCCUAUCAACUGCAACUGCAACGGGGAGGGAGGCGCAUGAAUGAAAGGCCUCCAGUUCCCCCUCUGUUGUCCAGUCCCGUCCUGUGGAGACACCUCACUGCUCACCUCAGCCAGGUAUGUGUUAUAGACCGUCCCCCUCAACGGUGCCGCUUUUGUUCCUGCCCACCCCUCUCCUCUCACCCUGCACCCCCCCUGUCACCCAUCACCGCUCGCCUGUCACCCCUUUCCUCUCACCCGUCCCCCACUCCCGCUGUCACCCCAAGCCCGACUUUCCCCUUUGUUCACUGGUCCCCAAGCUAAGCCGCCAGCUAAGCCUAACACACAGACCUGCAUGUUCUACUGUUGAGGCUAUGGUUAACCGUUUCCAUGGAGGGUCACAGCACCAUGUGUGUGUUACAUAUGCAAUAUCCAUGUGGGGCCUGAGGUUUGACAUGCACAUGAAGCUAGCUUGGGUUGUUAGGAAUGCCAAGACACAUGCUGUGAGUGUGGUGCCUCCAUUUUUGUGCUGCAGCACUCCCAGGCACCUUGGUGUUGUUGUGAAGCACAUAGUGGUUAACUACUCGUUGAAAUGACUGCUGCUGUCAGCAAGCAUUUGUCAGACUCCAUCCCCGUCCCACAUCAAUAUCAUGCGUGGUUUGCGUGGAACUGCUGACCUGCACGGUAUGUGUGUGUGUGUGUGUGUUACAUGGUUGGGGGUUGCGCGACCCCAUACCUGUAAAACUACCCAUACGAGCCGAAGGCCCAAGGGCAAUAUCUAUACCGCACAUCAGCCCAGACUAGCGUCCAAAGGGGGUAACUGAGGGGUAACUGCUCUCUGGGGACAUGGUACUUGCCCCUUCAUGCUCUGUUUGCCUCUAAAGCCCAGCAACAUAAACGAAACUGCAUUAGCUUACGAUGUUCUAAACAAGGAAUGAAAGCCACAUGAUGGCUGCGGCUCCCGAAAAGGGCAGCCCCAUCCAGUGCUUAUACUUCGCCAUUUGCACUCUCGGUUGCUUCCCAUCUGAUGGUAUGUGUCUUCCGCCUCACUUUGUGCAGGUGCUGCUGCUGGUGUGGACCUGCAGCGCUUGGGAGCUGGCGCUGGUGGUAAGUUUUCUUCUAUUUGCUGCUAUCGUAGCUACUGUUGCCACCAGCUCUCGGAGGCACAUUCAUUCCAUGACGGAAAGUCAUUCGGAUUCAGGCAAGGGUCCAGCUGCAGCAUGCUUUCUUACCCAGUAGCAUGUUGUGGCUCGUUCUUCAAUUGUGCAUUGGUCCAGCACGCUUUAUUGGCCAUACAUAAAUAGUUAGGGGACACAUGGCCAGUUUUGCAGGCAUGUGUUGCAUGACUGAUCUCAGUGUGAAUCCUGCUGAAUCCAGGAGCCCUUGUGCCCCCCCUACCCCCCCCCGUUCCAGUCAUCUCUGACAUUUUGACUCCGACCCUCUGACAUGACUGAACCCAGUGCUGGAGCGCAUCAGGCCACGGCGGCUUUCGAAGCCCAGUCAUGCGAUGAGGGCCGGGUUAGGGCUGAGCAGGCGCUGAGGGCUGAGCGGGCGGACGAAAUAUCUCGGGGGUAUUUCUUCGACAAGUUGUCGCGAACCAGGGUUUCGCCCCUGCGACCCUUACUAGCAACGCGUGAGCUGUAACUAACAAUGGCCGGGAGUUCUGGGACAACGACUGGAACAUACAGAGAGCCUUACAGCCUUGCAACCACACGCACUCUCAGCUCUCAGUCCCCGCACAUGCUACUACAUCCUCCCACUUGCCCCACUGAAUCCCAGCCAUCCCAGUCAUGGGCCCGUCUCUGUCAUGAACGUCAACGGCCACCACGCGCGCCCAAUGCACUGUAAUCCAGUCAUGGGCCCUCACCUCCCCCCACACCCCAGUCAUGUCAGUCAUGGCCCUUGUGCUCAGCUGCCUCAGUUACCUCGGUUGGUUUUUGCAACUCACGUGGCCCAGUGAGACACCGUGUGCUGGUGAGUCCUGUUUUCAGACCCUCUCGGGCCCAUAAAGGCUGCCGUGCUUUGACUCACCCAAGGGAGCCUAAAGUGAGUCAACGAGCGGAAAGACACCUGGAGAGAGUCUUACAUGCGUGCCUGCACCCUGAGAGUCAAUCAGAGCAACUCUUGAGCAACUCAAAGAGAGAGAUUGAGAACCGCUAUGAGAGCGCCCCCAGCAAACCCCAGCAAACCCCGGAAGCUAGCUGCUGGCCAGGCCCACAGAACCUGAGUGUCCUGAGGGCAUCGGGCGACAUGUUCCUUAUGCCGCCCCCUGCCGCCCGUUCCACCGAUGGAUUCUGCCAGAGUCAACUGAACCAAGUGAGGCAACUGAGGCAUCUGAGGCAACUCACCACGUACACAUACGCGCCGUGCUUGGGGGUCUGUAAGUGCCAGCGGUUGUCACUUUUUAUUGGGGGAAUCCGGAACAGUGUUUAUUUUUUUGGUAAUAUAUUACUUUUUUGGGAAUAAAUGGGGGUCUGAGCCUGGAAGAAAUGGAAUAAUUGGUCAGUUGGCCGUACUGGUUCAUUACUUCGGCCAUAAGUCGCCCCAAAUGCCUUCUGCACAGAUAAAGCUGAACAUCUGGAACUUAUACACUAUUUAUAUAUAAA
rnacentral:lncRNA from 1 species